CCUACGGGUGGCAGCAGUGAGGAAUAUUGGUCAAUGGACGCAAGCCUGAACCAGCCAUGUCGCGUGCAGGAAGACGGCUCUAUGAGUUGUAAACUGCUUUUGUACGAGGGUAAACGCAGAUACGCGUAUCUGUCUGAAAGUAUCGUACGAAUAAGGAUCGGCUAACUCCGUUCCCGCAGCCGCGGUAAUACGGAAGAUUCAAGCGUUAUCCGGAUUUAUUGGGUUUAAAGGGUGCGUAGGCGGCCGGUUAAGUUCGAGGUGAAAUCCCGGGGCUCAACUUCGGCAUUGCCGGUGAAACUGGUGGGCUAGAGAGUGCGUGCGGUAGGCGGAAUGCAUGGUGUAGCGGUGAAAUGCUUAGAGAUCAUGCAGAACACCGAUUGCGAAGGCAGCUUACCAAGCUACUACUGACGCUGAGGCACGAAAGCGUGGGGAGCAAACAGGAUUAGAUACCCUAGUAGUC
rnacentral:rRNA from 1 species